rnacentral:rRNA from 1 species
CGGCAACAGCUCAAAUUUGAAAUCUGGCCCCAGCGGUCCGAGUUGUAAUUUGCAGAGGAUGCUUCUGGCGCGGUGCCUUCCGAGUUCCCUGGAACGGGACGCCAAAGAGGGUGAGAGCCCCGUGUGGUCGGACACCAAGCCUGUGUGAAGCUCCUUCGAC